rnacentral:rRNA from 1 species
AUGCCGCGCCGCGCCCUCCCCCUCGCCGAGGCCGCUGCCGCCGCCGCGCACGCCGCGCUGCUCGCCCUCGCGCUCCUCCUCCUGCUCCUCCGCGGCGCGCGCGCCCUCGCCUCCCGCUGCGCCUCCUGCCUCAAGCCGCCGCGCCGCGCCCGCAACCCCGCCCUCGCCGGCGAUGGGGCGCCCCUCGCCCCCUCGCCGCCCGCCGCCGGGGGCGCCUGGUACCGGGCCGCCCUCGCCUGCUGCGCCUACGCCCUGCUGGCGCAGCUCGCCGCGCUGAGCUACGAGGUCGCGGCCGCCGCGCCGCCCGCCGAGGCCGAGCCGCUGCUGCUGCCGGCCGUGCAGGCGCUGGCCUGGGCGGCCCUGCUGGCGCUCGCGCUGCGGGCGCGCGCCGGCAGGUUCCCGGCGCUCGUGCGGGUCUGGUGGGUGCUCGCCUUCGCGCUCUCCCUCGCCAUCGCCUUCGACGACUCCAGGCGCCUCAUGGGCGCCGACGACCACGAUGCGGACUACGCGCACAUGGUCGCCAACUUCGCGUCGCUGCCGGCCCUCGGCUUCCUCUGCUUGGUUGGUGUGAUGGGUUCCAGCGGUGUCGACUUGGAGUUUAGUGACGACGACACCGGUGUCCAUGAGCCCCUGUUGCUCGGCGGGCAGCGGAGAGGCGCCGAGGAGGAGCCCGGCUGCCUGCGGGUGACUCCCUACGGCGAUGCCGGGAUCCUCAGCCUCGCAACACUCUCAUGGCUCAGUCCUUUGCUCUCGGUUGGGGCCAAGAGGCCGCUCGAGCUGGCUGACAUACCCCUGCUGGCUCACAAGGACCGUGCCAAGUUCUGCUACAAGGCCAUGAGCAGUCACUAUGAGCGCCAACGGCUGGAGUGCCCUGACAAGGAGCCAUCGCUGGCAUGGGCAAUACUCAAGUCCUUCUGGCGGGAGGCGGCCAUCAACGGCGCCUUCGCCGCGGUGAACACCGUCGUGUCCUAUGUCGGCCCCUACCUGAUCAGCUACUUUGUGGACUACCUCAGUGGCAAAAUUGCCUUCCCCCAUGAAGGUUACAUCCUCGCCUCCGUAUUUUUCGUAUCAAAGUUGAUUGAGACGCUCACUGCUCGCCAGUGGUACCUGGGCGUGGACGUCAUGGGGAUCCAUGUCAAGUCCGGGCUGACGGCCAUGGUGUACCGGAAGGGCCUCAGGCUGUCGAAUGCCUCAAAGCAGAGCCACACGAGCGGUGAGAUUGUGAAUUACAUGGCGGUUGAUGUGCAGCGGGUGGGGGACUAUGCAUGGUACUUUCAUGACAUAUGGAUGCUUCCACUGCAGAUCAUCCUUGCGCUCGCCAUCCUGUACAAGAAUGUCGGGAUCGCCACGGUUUCGACAUUGAUAGCCACCGCGCUGUCAAUUGCUGCCUCGGUUCCUGUGGCCAAGCUGCAGGAACACUACCAAGAUAAGCUAAUGGCAGCAAAGGAUGAGCGAAUGCGCAAGACUGCAGAGUGCUUGAAGAGUAUGAGAAUUCUCAAGCUGCAGGCAUGGGAGGACCGGUACAGGAUAAUGCUUGAAGAGAUGAGGAACGUUGAAUGCAGGUGGCUCAAGUGGGCUUUGUACUCGCAGGCCGCAGUUACGUUUGUUUUCUGGAGCUCGCCAAUCUUUGUCUCAGUCAUAACUUUCGGCACUUGUAUAUUGCUUGGUGGCGAGCUCACUGCCGGAGGUGUUCUCUCUGCUUUAGCAACUUUUAGGAUCCUUCAAGAGCCUCUGAGGAAUUUCCCUGAUCUCAUCUCCAUGAUAGCUCAGACGAGGGUGUCCUUGGACAGGUUGUCACACUUUUUGCGGCAAGAAGAGUUGCCGGAUGAUGCAACAAUAAGUGUUCCACAGGGUAGCACAGACAAGGCAAUCGAUAUCAAGGAUGGCAGUUUCUCUUGGAACCCGUCUUGCUCAACCCCUACACUAUCUCAUAUACAACUUAGUGUGGUGAGAGGCAUGAGAGUAGCAGUCUGUGGUGUGAUUGGCUCUGGCAAAUCAAGUCUAUUGUCCUCUAUACUUGGGGAGAUACCCAGACUGUCUGGCCAAGUUAGGGUCAGUGGUACAGCAGCAUAUGUUUCACAGACUGCCUGGAUACAGUCUGGAAAUAUUGAGGAGAACGUUCUUUUCGGCACUCCAAUGGACAGACCGCGCUAUAAGAGAGUACUUGAGGCUUGCUCCCUGAAGAAGGAUCUUCAGUUGCUCCAGUAUGGUGAUCAGACCAUCAUCGGUGACAGAGGCAUCAAUUUGAGUGGAGGCCAGAAACAGAGAGUGCAGCUUGCGAGAGCACUGUACCAGGAUGCUGAUAUUUAUUUGCUUGAUGACCCCUUCAGUGCCGUUGAUGCUCAUACUGGAAGUGAUCUAUUUAAGGACUAUAUAUUGGGGGCACUAGCUAGUAAAACAGUAAUUUAUGUAACUCAUCAAGUCGAGUUCCUACCAGCUGCUGACUUGAUAUUGGUUCUUAAGGAUGGUCAUAUCACCCAAGCUGGAAAAUAUGAUGAUCUUCUCCAAGCUGGAACCGAUUUCAAUGCUCUGGUUUCUGCUCACAAUGAAGCUAUCGAAACCAUGGAUUUCGGCGAAGAUUCUGAUGGAGAUAUUGCUCCUUCUGUUCCUAACAAAAGAUUGACACCAAGUGUUAGCAAUAUCGAUAACCUGAAAAAUAAAGUAUCUGAAAAUGGUAAGUCAUCUAAUACACGUGGAAUUAAGGACAAGAAAAAGAGUGAAGAACGUAAGAAGAAGCGUACUGUUCAGGAAGAGGAGAGGGAGCGAGGAAGAGUUAGCUUAAAUGUUUAUUUGACAUACAUGGGGGAAGCCUACAAAGGUUCACUUAUACCACUCAUUGUCUUGGCACAAACCCUGUUCCAAGUUCUUCAGAUUGCCAGUAACUGGUGGAUGGCAUGGGCAAACCCACAAACAGAAGGAGAUGCACCUAAGACAAGUAGUGUGGUCCUUCUUGUUGUUUAUAUGUGCCUUGCUUUCGGGAGUUCAUUGUUUGUGUUUGUGAGAAGCCUUCUUGUAGCUACAUUUGGUUUAGCAGCUGCUCAGAAACUAUUUAUAAAAAUGCUAAGGUGUGUGUUUCGAGCGCCAAUGUCAUUCUUCGAUACUACACCAUCUGGACGGAUUCUGAAUCGAGUUUCUGUAGAUCAAAGUGUUGUGGACCUUGAUAUAGCAUUCAGGCUAGGGGGAUUUGCCUCAACAACAAUUCAACUCCUUGGAAUUGUUGCUGUCAUGAGUAAAGUCACAUGGCAAGUUCUGUUUCUUAUAGUCCCUAUGGCUAUGGCAUGCAUGUGGAUGCAGAGAUAUUACAUUGCUUCAUCAAGGGAGCUGACUAGGAUCUUGAGUGUUCAGAAGUCUCCAGUGAUCCAUUUGUUUAGCGAGUCAAUCGCUGGUGCUGCUACUAUCAGAGGAUUUGAUCAGGAAAAAAGAUUCAUGAAAAGAAAUCUUUACCUCCUUGAUUGUUUUGCUCGGCCUUUGUUUUCCAGCCUUGCAGCUAUUGAAUGGCUCUGCCUGCGAAUGGAAUUGCUCUCGACUUUUGUGUUUGCUUUCUGCAUGGCAAUACUCGUGAGCUUUCCUCCUGGUACAAUUGAACCAAGUAUGGCUGGGCUUGCUGUCACAUAUGGACUCAACCUAAAUGCUCGGAUGUCAAGGUGGAUAUUGAGCUUCUGUAAAUUAGAGAACAGAAUCAUCUCUGUUGAGCGUAUUUAUCAGUACUGCAAGAUUCCUAGUGAAGCACCACUGAUUAUUGAGAAUUGUCGUCCCCCGGCCUCAUGGCCUGAGAAUGGAAACAUUCAAUUGAUUGAUCUCAAGGUCCGCUACAAGGACGACCUUCCCUUCGUUCUACAUGGAGUCAGUUGUAUUUUUCCUGGCGGGAAAAAGAUUGGGAUUGUAGGGAGAACUGGAAGUGGUAAAUCUACUCUCAUUCAGGCUCUUUUCCGUCUAAUUGAACCCACAGGAGGGAAAAUUAUCAUUGACGACAUCGAUGUUUCUGCGAUUGGCCUUCACGAUCUGCGGUCACGGUUGAGCAUCAUCCCUCAGGACCCUACAUUGUUCGAGGGUACUAUCAGAAUGAAUCUUGACCCUCUUGAAGAGCGUUCUGAUCAAGAAAUUUGGGAGGCACUAGAGAAGUGCCAGCUAGGAGAGGUCAUUCGUUCGAAGGAAGAAAAACUGGACAGUCCAGUACUGGAGAAUGGGGAUAACUGGAGUGUGGGACAGCGCCAGCUUAUUGCAUUGGGUAGGGCGCUGCUUAAGCAGGCAAGAAUUUUGGUGCUUGAUGAGGCGACGGCAUCAGUUGACACAGCUACAGAUAAUCUUAUCCAGAAGAUUAUUCGCAGCGAAUUCAGGGAUUGCACUGUCUGUACAAUUGCACACAGGAUCCCAACGGUCAUCGACAGUGACCUAGUCAUGGUGCUUAGCGACGGUAAAAUAGCGGAGUUCGACACACCCCAGAGGCUUGUGGAGGACAAGUCCUCCAUGUUCAUGCAGCUAGUAUCCGAGUACUCCACCAGGGCGAGCUGUAUAUAG